rnacentral:rRNA from 1 species
AUACGUAGGUGGCAAGCGUUGUCCGGAAUUAUUGGGCGUAAAGCGCGCGCAGGCGGUCCUUUAAGUCUGAUGUGAAAGCCCACGGCUCAACCGUGGAGGGUCAUUGGAAACUGGGGGACUUGAGUGCAGAAGAGGAGAGUGGAAUUCCACGUGUAGCGGUGAAAUGCGUAGAGAUGUGGAGGAACACCAGCGGCGAAGGCGACUCUCUGGUCUGUAACUGACGCUGAAGCACGAAAGCGUGGGGAGC